UACGGAGGGUGCAAGCGUUAUCCGGAUUCACUGGGUUUAAAGGGUGCGUAGGCGGGCAGGUAAGUCAGUGGUGAAAUCUCAGAGCUUAACUCUGAAACUGCCAUUGAUACUAUCUGUCUUGAAUGUUCUGGAGGUGAGCGGAAUAUGUCAUGUAGCGGUGAAAUGCUUAGAUAUGACAUAGAACACCAAUUGCGUAGGCAGCUCACUACGGAAAUAUUGACGCUGAGGCACGAAAGCGUGAGGAUCAAACAGG
rnacentral:rRNA from 2 species